UACGUAGGGUGCAAGCGUUGUCCGGAAUUAUUGGGCGUAAAGCGUGCGUAGGCGGUUUGUUAAGUCUGCUGUGAAAUCCCCGGGCUCAACCUGGGAAUGGCAGUGGAUACUGGCAAGCUAGAGUGUGUCAGAGGAUGGUGGAAUUCCCGGUGUAGCGGUGAAAUGCGUAGAGAUCGGGAGGAACACCAGUGGCGCAAGCGGCUAUCUGGACUGACAUUGACGCUGGAGGCACGAAAGCGUGGGGAUCAAACAGG
rnacentral:rRNA from 1 species